rnacentral:tRNA from 1 species
GGUUCUGUAGCUUAGUUGGUAAAGCACUUGUCUAGCGAAUAAGGGUCGUGAGUUCAAAUCUCACCUGAGCUG